rnacentral:rRNA from 1 species
UGGGGAAUAUUGCACAAUGGGCGCAAGCCUGAUGCAGCCAUGCCGCGUGUGUGAAGAAGGCCUUCGGGUUGUAAAGCACUUUCAGCGAGGAGGAAGGUGGUGGACUUAAUACGUUCAUCAAUUGACGUUACUCGCAGAAGAAGCACCGGCUAACUCCGUGCCAGCAGCCGCGGUAAUACGGAGGGUGCAAGCGUUAAUCGGAAUUACUGGGCGUAAAGCGCACGCAGGCGGUUUGUUAAGUCAGAUGUGAAAUCCCCGGGCUCAACCUGGGAACUGCAUUUGAAACUGGCAAGCUAGAGUCUCGUAGAGGGGGGUAGAAUUCCAGGUGUAGCGGUGAAAUGCGUAGAGAUCUGGAGGAAUACCGGUGGCGAAGGCGGCCCCCCUGGACGAAGACUGACGCUCAGGUGCGAAAAGCGUGGGGAGCAAAACAGGAUUAGAUACCCUGGUAGUCCACGCUGUAAAACGAUGUCGAUUUGGAGGUUGUGCCCUUGAGGCGUGGCUUCCGGAGCUAACGCGUUAAAUCGACCGCCUGGGGAGUACGGCCGCAAGGUU